UGCAGUCGCAGGGGAAGCCAUCCUUCGGGGUGGUGGAGACUGGCGCACGGGUGAGUAACGCGUGGGUAUCUGCCCUGGGGUGGGGGAUAACCGCUGGAAACGGCGGCUAAUACCGCAUACGCCCUUUGGGGGAAAGCCGAGAGGCGCUCUGGGAGGAGCCCGCGUCCGAUUAGCUUGUUGGUGGGGUAACGGCCCACCAAGGCCGCGAUCGGUAGCUGGUCUGAGAGGAUGAUCAGCCACACUGGGACUGAGACACGGCCCAGACUCCUACGGGAGGCAGCAGUGGGGAAUAUUGGACAAUGGGCGCAAGCCUGAUCCAGCCAUGCCGCGUGAGUGAAGAAGGCCUUAGGGUUGUAAAGCUCUUUCGCCCGUGAAGAUGAUGACGGUAGCGGGAGAAGAAGCCCCGGCUAACUCCGUGCCAGCAGCCGCGGUAAUACGGAGGGGGCGAGCGUUGUUCGGAAUUACUGGGCGUAAAGGGCGCGUAGGCGGGAUGUCAAGUCAGGGGUGAAAGUCCUGGGCUCAACCUGGGGACUGCCCUUGAAACUGGCAUUCUUGAGACCGGGAGAGGAUGGCGGAAUUCCCAGUGUAGGGGUGAAAUUCGUAGAUAUUGGGAAGAACACCGGUGGCGAANGCGGCCAUCUGGACCGGAUCUGACGCUGANGCGCGAAAGCGUGGGGAGCAAACAGGANUAGAUACCCUGGUAGUCCACGCCGUAAACGAUGUGUGCUAGCCGUUGGGGCACUUGGUGUUUCGGUGGCGCAGCUAACGCGUUAAGCACACCGCCUGGGGAGUA
rnacentral:rRNA from 1 species